rnacentral:rRNA from 1 species
AUGUUCCCUUUCCAGUUCAAGAGGAAGCAGUUUCCUAUUAGGCUCAGCUUUGCCAUGACGGUCAACAAGGCACAGGGGCAGACUAUCCCGAACGCGGUAUACUUGCCCGAGCCAGUGUUCUCUCAUGGGCAGUUGUAUGUCGCGCUAUCUAGAUCCACUGCUAGAAAGAACAUCAAGAUCCUUACCGCCCCGGCUACAGACAAUGAGAAAAAUGUCUCAGACGAUAGUAGAAGGAAUAGCUCAAAUUACAGCAAAAGCAAAAGCUCCAACAAUAAGAAAAAGAUUUACACGAGGAACAUCGUCUAUAGGGAGGUACUUACAUCAUAG